GGCCUAACACAUGCAAGUCGAGCGCGAAAGUCCCUUCGGGGGUGAGUAGAGCGGCGGACGGGUGAGUAAUACAUAGGUAAUCUACCUUCGAGCUUGGGAUAACCCUGCGAAAGUGGGGCUAAUACCGGAUAAGACCACGUAAUUAUUUUACGGGGUAAAAGGUGGCUUAUUUUUUAAAUGAGCUAUCACUUGAGGAUGAGCCUGUGGCCUAUCAGCUUGUUGGUGGGGUAAGAGCCUACCAAGGCUAUGACGGGUAGCUGGUCUGAGAGGACGACUAGCCACACUGGGACUGAGACACGGCCCAGACUCCUACGGGAGGCAGCAGUGGGGAAUAUUGGGCAAUGGGCGAAAGCCUGACCCAGCGACGCCGCGUGGGCGAUGAAGGCCUUCGGGUUGUAAAGCCCUGUCAUGCGGAAAGAACGACCCUGCGACGCAUAAUCGCAGGGAGUGACGGUACCGCAAGAGGAAGCACCGGCUAACUCCGUGCCAGCAGCCGCGGUAAUACGGAGGGUGCAAGCGUUGUUCGGAAUUAUUGGGCGUAAAGGGCGCGUAGGCGGUAAUGCUAGUCAGAUGUGAAAUACUCCGGCUCAACCGGGGAACUGCAUCUGAAACUGCAUAACUAGAGUACAGAAGAGGGAAACGGAAUUCCCGGUGUAGAGGUGAAAUUCGUAGAUAUCGGGAGGAACACCAGUGGCGAAGGCGGUUUCCUGGUCUGAUACUGACGCUGAGGCGCGAAAGUGUGGGGAGCAAACAGGAUUAGAUACCCUGGUAGUCCACACUGUAAACGGUGAACACUAGGUGUGGGAGGUGUAAUACCUUCCGUGCCGUAGCUAACGCGUUAAGUGUUCCGCCUGGGAAGUACGGCCGCAAGGUUGAAACUCAAAGGAAUUGACGGGGGCCCGCACAAGCGGUGGAGCAUGUGGUUUAAUUCGACGCAACGCGAAGAACCUUACCAAAUCUUGACAUCCUUCUGAAUAGCUGGUAAAGCAGCUAGGCCUUCGGGACAGAAGAGACAGGUGGUGCAUGGUUGUCGUCAGCUCGUGUCGUGAGAUGUUGGGUUAAGUCCCGCAACGAGCGCAACCCUUAUCUUCAGUAGCCAGCAAGUUAAGUUGGGCACUCUGGAGAGACUGCCGGGGAUAACCCGGAGGAAGGCGGGGAUGACGUCAAAUCAUCAUGCCCCUUAUGAUUUGGGCCACACACGUGCUACAAUGGCGUAAACAGAGGGAAGCGAAGGCGCGAGCCGGAGCAAAUCCCAGAAAUAACGUCCCAGUUCGGACUGUAGGCUGCAACCCGCCUACACGAAGCUGGAAUCGCUAGUAAUCGCAGAUCAGAAUGCUGCGGUGAAUACGUUCCCGGGUCUUGUACACACCGCCCGUC
rnacentral:rRNA from 1 species